rnacentral:rRNA from 1 species
AUGGGAACGCGAAGAACCUUACCUACUCUUGACAUCCAGAGAACUUAGCAGAGAUGCUUUGGUGCCUUCGGGAACUCUGAGACAGGUGCUGCAUGGCUGUCGUCAGCUCGUGUUGUGAAAUGUUGGGUUAAGUCCCGCAACGAGCGCAACCCUUAUCCUUUGUUGCCAGCGGUCCGGCCGGGAACUCAAAGGAGACUGCCAGUGAUAAACUGGAGGAAGGUGGGGAUGACGUCAAGUCAUCAUGGCCCUUACGAGUAGGGCUACACACGUGCUACAAUGGCGCAUACAAAGAGAAGCGACCUCGCGAGAGCAAGCGGACCUCAUAAAGUGCGUCGUAGUCCGGAUCGGAGUCUGCAACUCGACUCCGUGAAGUCGGAAUCGCUAGUAAUCGCAAAUCAGAAUGUUGCGGUGAAUACGUUCCCAGGUCUUGUACACACCG